rnacentral:rRNA from 1 species
UACGGAGGGGGCUAGCGUUGUUCGGAAUUACUGGGCGUAAAGCGCACGUAGGCGGUUUUUUAAGUCAGAGGUGAAAGCCCGGAGCUUAACUCCGGAAUUGCCUUUGAGACUGGGAGACUUGAAUCCAGGAGAGGUGAGUGGAAUUCCGAGUGUAGAGGUGAAAUUCGUAGAUAUUCGGAAGAACACCAGUGGCGAAGGCGGCGUUCUGGACUGCAACUGACACUGAGGAACGAAAGCUAGGGGAGCAAACAGG